AACGAACGCUGGCGGCAGGCUUAACACAUGCAAGUCGAGCGCCCCGCAAGGGGAGCGGCAGACGGGUGAGUAACGCGUGGGAAUCUACCGUGCCCUACGGAAUAGCUCCGGGAAACUGGAAUUAAUACCGUAUACGCCCUACGGGGGAAAGAUUUAUCGGGGUAUGAUGAGCCCGCGUUGGAUUAGCUAGUUGGUGGGGUAAAGGCCUACCAAGGCGACGAUCCAUAGCUGGUCUGAGAGGAUGACCAGCCACAUUGGGACUGAGACACGGCCCAAACUCCUACGGGAGGCAGCAGUGGGGAAUAUUGGACAAUGGGCGCAAGCCUGAUCCAGCCAUGCCGCGUGAGUGAUGAAGGUCUUAGGAUUGUAAGGCUCUUUCACCGGUGAUGAUAAUGACGGUAACCGGAGAAGAAGCCCCGGCUAACUUCGUGCCAGCCGCCGCAGUAA
rnacentral:rRNA from 1 species